AUGCUUAGGAAAAUGUUCCAAGGGGGUUCUUCAAAGAAGCAAGGGCCCAGGCUCGCAAUGCGUGAUGCUGACGAAGAGCCACCAAGAGACGCUCCAGUGCAUCCUUGUGAGUGGCCUUCUGAAAAUUUUAUGAAUCAAGUAGGAAUAAAAGAAGAAUUCAACGCAUAUUUGCGUAAUGCUGGUCUCGUGAGCUUCGAGGAAGAGAAGUGCAGUCAGUAUCAUGAGCUCACUAGCUCCUUUGUGAGGAGGAGGUUUGAAUUUUCAACUUCACGCAAGAGGAGGAUAUACUAUUACCAGAGAGGAGGCAGAUGA
rnacentral:rRNA from 1 species